rnacentral:rRNA from 1 species
CGAAUGCUGACAUAAGUAACGAUAAAGCGGGUGAAAAGCCCGCUCGCCGGAAGACCAAGGGUUCCUGUCCAACGUUAAUCGGGGCAGGGUGAGUCGACCCCUAAGGCGAGGCCGAAAGGCGUAGUCGAUGGGAAACAGGUUAAUAUUCCUGUACUUGGUGUUACUGCGAAGGGGGGACGGAGAAGGCUAUGUUGGCCGGGCGACGGUUGUCCCGGUUUAAGCGUGUAGGCUGGUUUUCCAGGCAAAUCCGGAAAAUCAAGGCUGAGGCGUGAUGACGAGGCACUACGGUGCUGAAGCAACAAAUGCCCUGCUUCCAGGAAAAGCCUCUAAGCAUCAGGUAACAUCAAAUCGUACCCCAAACCGACACAGGUGGUCAGGUAGAGAAUACCAAGGCGCUUGAGAGAACUCGGGUGAAGGAACUAGGCAAAAUGGUGCCGUAACUUCGGGAGAAGGCACGCUGAUAUGUAGGUGAAGCGACUUGCUCGUGGAGCUGAAAUCAGUCGAAGAUACCAGCUGGCUGCAACUGUUUAUUAAAAACACAGCACUGUGCAAACACGAAAGUGGACGUAUACGGUGUGACGCCUGCCCGGUGCCGGAAGGUUAAUUGAUGGGGUUAGCGCAAGCGAAGCUCUUGAUCGAAGCCCCGGUAAACGGCGGCCGUAACUAUAACGGUCCUAAGGUAGCGAAAUUCCUUGUCGGGUAAGUUCCGACCUGCACGAAUGGCGUAAUGAUGGCCAGGCUGUCUCCACCCGAGACUCAGUGAAAUUGAACUCGCUGUGAAGAUGCAGUGUACCCGCGGCAAGACGGAAAGACCCCGUGAACCUUUACUAUAGCUUGACACUGAACAUUGAGCCUUGAUGUGUAGGAUAGGUGGGAGGCUUUGAAGUGUGGACGCCAGUCUGCAUGGAGCCGACCUUGAAAUACCACCCUUUAAUGUUUGAUGUUCUAACGUUGACCCGUAAUCCGGGUUGCGGACAGUGUCUGGUGGGUAGUUUGACUGGGGCGGUCUCCUCCUAAAGAGUAACGGAGGAGCACGAAGGUUGGCUAAUCCUGGUCGGACAUCAGGAGGUUAGUGCAAUGGCAUAAGCCAGCUUGACUGCGAGCGUGACGGCGCGAGCAGGUGCGAAAGCAGGUCAUAGUGAUCC